rnacentral:lncRNA from 1 species
AGGCUGUUUAUUGUCACACACACAAACACAUUUAACCUCUGACAACACAGCCAUUCCUCGGCGUUGGCUGAGUCCCAGUUUCACGUGGUGGCCAGCGUGAAGUGUACUCAAAUCCUACAUCGAGAGUUAUCCUACGUGCCUCUCCAAUCGAGGUAAGCUCAAUAAUUGGGAACCGUGCCACUCUAAUUAGGCUAGCCCACAGAAUCCCCGUCACUGCAAUGCCCACUUUAUAAUCCACCAACUAAUAAAAUCACAAUAAUAUGACAUGGCUCACUUAACACAUUCAAGGCAAAUCAAAGCAGUUCACAUAUUCUUUAAAUCAUAAAAAUAACCAAUCAUACCCACAUUUAUCAUAAGCCAUUUAAUGUAAAAUCAUGGAUAAACAACACAAUCAUAGUAUAGGUCUCCAAUUACUCUAUUUUUGAAAUCAUUAUUAAAUUUUCAAAAAAUUUUAUAAAAUUAUUUUAUAAAAUCUCAUUUUCCCAUAAAACACAAUAAUUUUCCAAUUAAA